CAAAUUAGAGCUUGAAUAAGUUUUUUAUUUACAUUAAAAAGAUAAUUUUAUAAUUUAAUUUGA
rnacentral:tRNA from 1 species